rnacentral:rRNA from 1 species
GACGAACGCCGGCGGCGUGCCUAAUACAUGCAAGUAGAACGCUGAAGAGAGGAGCUUGCUCUUCUUGGAUGAGUUGCGAACGGGUGAGUAACGCGUAGGUAACCUGCCUGGUAGCGGGGGAUAACUAUUGGAAACGAUAGCUAAUACCGCAUGAAAUUGCUUAUCGCAUGAUAAUUAAUUGAAGAUGCAAUUGAUCACUACCAGAUGGACCUGCGUUGUAUUAGCUAGUUGGUGAGGUAACGGCUCACCAAGGCGACGUUACAUAGCCGACCUGAGAGGGUGAUCGGCCACACUGGGACUGAGACACGGCCCAGACUCCUACGGGAGGCAGCAGUAGGGAAUCUUCGGCAAUGGGGGGAACCCUGACCGAGCAACGCCGCGUGAGUGAAGAAGGUUUUCGGAUCGUAAAGCUCUGUUGUAAGAGAAGAAACGGGUGUGAAGAAGUGGAAAAG